CGGGGUGAGUAACGCGUGGGUAACCUGCCUUGUACAGGGGGAUAACAGUUGGAAACGGCUGCUAAUACCGCAUAAGCGCACAGCAUCGCAUGAUGCAGUGUGAAAAACUCCGGUGGUAUAAGAUGGACCCGCGUUGGAUUAGCUAGUUGGUGAGGUAACGGCCCACCAAGGCGACGAUCCAUAGCCGACCUGAGAGGGUGACCGGCCACAUUGGGACUGAGACACGGCCCAG
rnacentral:rRNA from 1 species